rnacentral:lncRNA from 1 species
UAGUUUUGGUCAAUGCCAUGCGUACUCGUAUUAACAAUCAGGGAAGUUUCAUAACUUGAAGGAAAGAAUACCAGGCUGUGGAAUGUACAAAUUUCAAUACGUGCAUGUCUGUGAGUUUUUGUAUGUUUCAAAUCUUUAUAUUUAUUUGAAAAUCAGUGACUUUGGGCAAUUCUAAUUCUGAAUUCUGAUGUCGUACCGAGCAUAUUGAAAUGGCCAUAGCCAGUUUUGGCCAUCAUUUACCAUUUACUUGAUAUGUGGUCAUUGAUUCGACAAAAUCACUUUAACCUAGAACUAUUUAAGACGGGGACCAGUUUUUUCCCUAGCAAGAGAGAGGUAUAUCAUUUAUUAUCUCCUCUGCCAUUCUGUUUUCUAUGUUUUUGAUCAAAUAAGUUCUGCAAUCUGCAUUGCCUACUUGCUACUUGAUCAGGGUAACAAUGCUGAAUUAGUUUUACACUUGAGGAUUAGGUCACGUUGUCACACCAACAACAAAUCCUAAAAUGCUGGAUCUAGUGUAAUACAUACAGCCUAAGGGGAGUUGAAAUUAACUGAUGUAAAUUGUUCGAGUAAACAUUUGAUAAAGGUAAGUUCGAAGUUUAAGCUUGAUUUGGUUACAAAUAAGUUUGAAUGUUUGGAUAUGUUACUCCUUUAAGAAGUUUGAUGAUUAACUUAAGAUGGAUUUACAAUGUAACUCAAAAGGUACAUUUUAUUGCCUCCCUUUAACCAAAUUCCUGCAUUUUCACUAAAAUUGUAUUUGAGUGUACUUAAGUUUUUCAUUGGGGUUUUUGUUAAACUUUGCUUAACACACAUGUUCUGAGGAAACUGUUAUAGUUAGUUUGUUAUUGCGUAAGAUUGGUCCAGUUUUCAACCAACUUGUUUUUGUAAAAAUUAUAUGUCAAUGAGUAGAAUUAGGAUCUAGUACAAUUAUAAAACUACAGGACUUUGAAAUUUACUUUGUAAUAGGAUCGGCUAAGUGAUAUGUUAUAGGAUUGACUACACGGAAUAGGACUUUGAAUACAGCUUGUGAACUAUUCCAUUGUAACAUCAUUGAAGAAGUUUUGUUCCUUGCUUUAGAAGUUUUGUAAGAGCCAAAGUUUAGAAAUCUUUGACAGUUCCUUAAAGUGCUUGAUGCACAAGAGUAUAAAAGACUGAACUGAGCCUGAUUUGCAAAAGCAUAAUCAAUUGGACAUGUUUUUCCUUUCCUACUUUAUAGAUCAAAAUGAGGAACAUGCCCUCUUUAUCUUCUUCAUAUAAAGAGAUCCUAUGUUAUGCUUUAAAAAACGAUUCAUUUAUAGGACACGUUGUCCAUAUUUUCUCCAUUGAUAUUCAUCUUCCACUAUCUAAUGAAAAGUAACAUAAAAUAAUUAUAUGUUAAGCACAAUCAUGUUGUGAGAUCAAAGUAUAAUGUCAUACAGAAUGUACCCCACAUUUGUUACAGUCAGAACUCAUGUUGAAGGGCACAAUUGAAAUUACUAAAUUACAUCACUUUUUUCAAUAACAAAUGUGAUUAGUGUUAUAUAAGUAUAUUAUAUAUUUGUUUGUGAGAAAGAUGGAUGGAUUACCUCCUCAUCACCACUAAAGUGUAACCUUUAUCACAUGUCUUUCCUUCUGAUUGGGUAUUACAGUUAGAGAAUUUAAAUUUCUCUAACUUUUUAAUAAUAGGGAUCCAAGCACUAAACAUGUCUUAUGGUUAUCGAUCUCAUUCGUCUGAUUUAAAUCAAUAGUUAAAAUCGUUUAAAAUUGAUUUAAUUUACCUGAACUAUCUGAUCUCAAAUCAAUAGUCGGGAUUAAUUAUUGUGAUAACUGCAUCCUUUUAUCAACGUAUCAAAUCUGAACCAUCCUCCCUCCCCAAACACCACCCAACUUAAAAUAAAAAUAAAAAUAAAAAUGGUUGUUAUUAUGUAAGGCGAAAACAAUUAAGGUUUGACAAACAAAUUUAACUCCUCAUCCACUCAAAUAAAAAUAAAAAUUAAGUCCUCUAAAAUGGCUAUUAUGUAAGGUGAAAACAAUUAAGGUUUGUUAUUUCAACAAACUCAUAAUCUAUUUUGAUACACAUGCAAUUUCACAUUGAACUUUUUAAUCAAUGGUUGACAAUAUGCUCUUUAGAAGAGUCAUAUCCCUUAACCAACACGGAUCACACAUCUUUUUUUUGUUGAAGAUUUAAUUCUAAGACAUUUAUGUGGUUGUUCAUAUCUCAUCUCAAUGUGAUAAUGAUUCAAAGUUUUAGGCUUCCAUCAUAAUCCAACACAUAGUAGACAAAAUUU